UUAGGGAGGAAAAGAAACCAACUGGGAUUACCUUAGUAACGGCGAGUGAAGCGGUAAAAGCUCAAAUUUGAAAUCUGGUACUUUCAGUGCCCGAGUUGUAAUUUGUAGAAUUUGUCUUUGAUUAGGUCCUUGUCUAUGUUCCUUGGAACAGGACGUCAUAGAGGGUGAGAAUCCCGUUUGGCGAGGAUACCUUUUCUCUGUAAGACUUUUUCGAAGAGUCGAGUUGUUUGGGAAUGCAGCUCAAAGUGGGUGGUAAAUUCCAUCUAAAGCUAAAUAUUGGCGAGAGACCGAUAGCGAACAAGUACAGUGAUGGAAAGAUGAAAAGAACUUUGAAAAGAGAGUGAAAAAGUACGUGAAAUUGUUGAAAGGGAAGGGCAUUUGAUCAGACAUGGUGUUUUUUGCAUGCACUCGCCUCUCGUGGGCUUGGGCCUCUCAAAAAUUUCACUGGGCCAACAUCAAUUCUGGCAGCAGGAUAAAUCAUUAAGAAUGUAGCUACUUCGGUAGUGUUAUAGCUUUUUGGAAUACUGUUAGCCGGGAUUGAGGACUGCGCUUCGGCAAGGAUGUUGGCAUAAUGGUUAAAUGCCGCCCGUCUUGAACCACGGACCAA
rnacentral:rRNA from 1 species